GUAAGUAUGGUCAGUGGCUAACCCAAAGCGCCCUUUUCUCUGAAUACAAUGCCCCAGUCGAACCACUGAACAGCUUCCAUGGCUUCCUUUCCCUUUUCUUCUCUCUGCCUCGCCAGAAAUUCCACUCCUUGCACAAGUGCAAUCGGAUCUCGACCUUCCCACAGGUUCAAUUUCACUACCUUCGGAAUCGGAGCGCCGAUCACUAAGAGAAUUAGGUCUUCCGUUUGCAGAGCUGCCUCCCUCGCCGACGAUUUCCGCCAUCCUCUCGAUAAGCAGAAUACAAUGAUUUUGCGGGCAAUUCCAGGGUUGAGCGAGCUGGGGAAGGUGUUAUUAGGAACCGUAACUGAGCAAGUCAUGCUUCUUGAGAACAUAGGAACAUCAAUUCUUCUUUCUGAAAAUCAGCUUUCAGAACUUCAUAAAUUGAUGAUUGAGGCUGCCCAAGUACUUAAUGUAGAGGCUCCAGAUCUAUAUGUCCGUCAAAAUCCUGGGCCAAAUGCUUAUACUUUAGCCAUAAGUGGUAAAAAGCCGUUUGUUGUUGUUCAUACCGGCCUUGUGGAGCUUCUUACACGAAAAGAAUUGCAGGCUGUUUUGGCUCAUGAAUUGGGUCAUCUAAAAUGUGAUCAUGGUGUGUGGCUUACAUUUGCGAAUAUUCUUACCCUGGGAGCUUACACUGUUCCUGGGCUUGGUGGAUUUUUAGCCCAGAACUUAGAAGAACAGUUAUUCCGUUGGCUUCGAGCAGCAGAGCUAACUUGUGAUCGUGCUGCCCUUCUCGUUGCGCAGGAUUCUCAAGUGGUCAUCUCUGUUCUGAUGAAAUUAGCUGGGGGCUGUCCAUCUAUAGCGGAUCAACUGAAUGUGGAUGCAUUUUUGGAGCAGGCUCGCUCUUAUGACAAAGCUUCUUCAAGCCCUAUAGGAUGGUAUAUAAGAAAUGCUCAAACAAGACAACUCUCACAUCCUUUGCCUGUUUUACGAGCACGUGAGAUUGAUGACUGGUCAAAAACUCAAGAAUACAAAAAUCUUUUGAAACGUGGAACAAAGAUCAAUCUUGUUGAAACAACUUAGCUGCCUCGUAUACAGAAUCAGAAAUGUCGACAGUUUUAGUAACUUUUAUAUGAUAAAUGAAGUAUACUCCGUUUGAGAGAAAAUACAGUGUUUGCUGGUUUUUAUUCUGAAUUUUCCUUCAAGAAGGAAGGUACAACAAUAAUACAGGUUUCCUAACUUGUCAAAAUGUAGAAUUCCUGGACACUGUCCUCAGAGCAAACAGGUUUCCUAUAAGAAUCUGCUUGGAGUCUUAGUGCUGCUUGAACUCCAGAUGAAACUCCUGAUAUCAUCUCUACAGCAGCAUUGCCUUGUGGUACAAAGUAAGUGUUUUGAAUUUAUGUAUCUGACUUUCCCAGUGUAGCCCACCAUAUUAUUGGUGAAAAGAAAGGAGUAGGAGCUGAAUCCAGUAGAACUCCUCCCUCAACCUUCAAGAAAAUCCUCUCCGAAUUCGAAUACUCCUUCACUGACUACAAAGUUGGCUGCACCAAAUCAUGAGUACCAAAGGCCAAAUGGUUGGAGUGGUGUCAUUUGCUUGGCUUCCAAUUUCAAGGUUUACAGGCUCUCCAUCUCCCCAGCUGCCCAGAUAAACGCCAUGGACCUCUCAUGAUUCCUGCCUCUAAUGCUGGCUAAAGCUAAACACCGCAUCAGUAUCUGGUGCUGAGAUUUACAAUGGAGCUGUAACAGAACAGUUGUGACCACUUGGUGUCACUUCAAAGCAGGUUCGACAUCAGAGGAGGAGCAGUAUUUCCGGCAGCCGCCUUGAUUGCUUCGAGGAAGAAGAAGGGAACCACAAUAAUGGCAAUGUCACAUGGACAGAAGGGAAGACUUUGACUUGGAGUUUCCAAGACAAACAGCUAGGUGAAAAGGAGAAGUAGAAUGGUGUGAGGUGAGCCGUUGGAUGAAACAGUGGGCCUACAUCGUAGGGUAUGUGGGAUUGAUCGGACGGUAGGCGUAGUUGGAUUGGGUUAAAGAGGAGCUGUCUAGAACUUGAACCUCAUUAUCUGGUCGUAGCAGGCAGAAACUGCAGGGGAUCACAUAUCCAUAUCCACUCCCAUCAAUCAACGUGUUUCUUACCUAAAAAUGGAAGUUUUUUUAUUUAUUACUUUUUUAACUUUUACCUAUUUUAUAUAUGUGACGAUAUCAAGAAAUGUAGAAUAUGUUAAUUAAGAACUAAGAUGAUCGUAUGAGAUAGACUUUAAUCCAAUGUAGAGACAAGGUCGAGUUGGAUGACUUGACUUAGUGUAGAACUAAAAUGCAGAAGAUUGUACAUGCAUGCAUGAGUAGAGUGUGUGAUCGAACAACCUCAUCUAAGGUCCGACGAACCUACAAAGAUGUGCAAAAAAAUGUAUAUGAGCUUAGGUUAUUUUUAAGACUUG